rnacentral:rRNA from 1 species
CCUACGGGGGGCAGCAGUAGGGAAUUUUCGUCAAUGGGCGCAAGCCUGAACGAGCAAUGCCGCGUGAACGAGGAAGGUCUUCGGAUCGUAAAGUUCUGUUGAAGGGGAAAAAGAGCGGAGAGAGGAAAUGGUCUCCGAUUGAUAUUACCCUUCGAGGAAGUCACGGCUAACUACGUGCCAGCAGCCGCGGUAAUACGUAGGUGGCGAGCGUUGUCCGGAAUGAUUGGGCGUAAAGGGUGCGUAGGCGGCCUGCGAAGUCUGGAGUGAAAGGUACCGGCUCAACCGGUAUAGGCUCUGGAAACUGGCGGGCUAGAGAGCAGGAGAGGGCGGUGGAACUCCAUGUGUAGCGGUAAAAUGCGUAGAUAUAUGGAAGAACACCAGUGGCGAAGGCGGCCGCCUGGCCUGUUACUGACGCUGAGGCACGAAAGCGUGGGGAGCAAAUAGGAUUAGAUACCCCGGUAGUC